ensembl:snRNA U2 U2 spliceosomal RNA
UAUCCUUCUCAGCGUUCUGGCUAAGAUCAAGUAUAGUAUCUGUUCUUAUCAGUUUACUAUCUGAUAUAUCCUCUAUCCCUGAUGCUCUUGUGUGAAUAAUGAACUCAAUUCUUUUUAAGGUGAUGACUCCAAAUACCUAUAAACUUGGAAUCACCUAAUUUUU